rnacentral:rRNA from 1 species
UACGCAGGGGGCAAGCGUUGUCCGGAUUUAUUGGGCGUAAAGAGCGUGUAGGCGGCUAGAUAGGUCCGUUGUGAAAACUCGAGGCUCAACCUCGAGACGUCGAUGGAAACCAUCUGGCUAGAGUCCGGAAGAGGAGAGUGGAAUUCCUGGUGUAGCGGUGAAAUGCGCAGAUAUCAGGAAGAACACCCGUGGCGAAGGCGGCUCUCUGGUACGUGACUGACGCUGAGACGCGAAAGCGUGGGGAGCGAACAGG